AGGAGGUGGUGGUGGAGGUGGAGGCUCAGGCAAUGGAAGUGGGUCAGGUUACGGAUAUGGCAGUGGAAGCGGGUCAGGAUAUGGAAGUGGAGGUGGAAAAAGUGGAGGUGGCGGUGGAGGCGGAGGUGGAGGAGGAGGAGGAGGUGGAGCAGCCCCAUUUGCUUGUGCCAUGGGUGGUGGUGGUGGCGGCAAUGGUAUUGAUCCUUUUGAAGAAAUCAUGGGUGGUGGAGGUGGUGGCAAUGCUCCUGUUACUGUUCCUGAUUUCAUAAGUGGGUGUGGUGGUGAUGGCAGGACAUUUGGAGGACCGGCUUCUCCUGCUAUGUUAGGCAAUGACAUGGGGGGUGGUGGUGGCAGCAGCGGCGACAGUAUUUGCAAAGGCAAUAGUGGCAGUGGGGCAGCUGCUGUUGCUAUAUUAGGCUGCAACAUGUGCUGAGGCAAUGGUGGUGGGAAUGGUGGUAGUUGGACUUUCACAUUUGACUGCAGCACG
rnacentral:misc_RNA from 1 species